AUAAAAAGUAAAAUUCAGGAAAUUAUGCAUUCCCUAUUGAAGAGUAUGUAACAGCCACUGCAGAGAGGAAAGAGAAUUUCACAGCUCCUUGAAGAGAAAUAUAGUGCAACAGAUGCCAAAAAGAGAAGAUAAAGAAGAGAGAUGUCAUCAUGGGGCAGAUCAAUUAUGCUAAGCUUUGGAGGAGCAUAUUGACUAUAAAUAUUGAGAAUUCCAGCCUAAGAGAAGCAGAAAAAUGUCUUAAUAUAUUCUUGAAAACUAUUUCUAGGGAGGAGUUCAGAUAACAGAAGGCUGAACAGAUGGUCUUUUCCAACUUUAUAGUUCCAGAAAAAGCAAGGGCCCUCAUUGCUGCUGACAUCUGAAGUUUAUGCAAGAAGAUGCCUACCAUGUCAGACGAAAAAUGUAACAGCUAGUCAGACCCAUGAUCAGGCAGCUUGGCACUUGCUGACAGCAGUUUGUCCAUGUGUUGGAAUCAGGAGAAAAAAUAAACCUAAACCAUACAACUGCUUAAAAAUCUGUUCAUUUACU